CAUAUCAAUAAGCGGAGGAAAAGAAACUAACAAGGGAUUCCCCUAGUAACUGCGAGUGAAGCGGGAAAAGCUCAAAUUUAAAAUCUGGCGGUCUUUGGCUGUCCGAGUUGUAAUCUAGAGAAGUGCUAUCCGCGCUGGACCGUGUACAAGUCUCCUGGAAUGGAGCGUCAUAGAGGGUGAGAAUCCCGUCUUUGACACGGACUGCCAGGGCUUUGUGAUGCGCUCUCGAAGAGUCGAGUUGUUUGGGAAUGCAGCUCAAAAUGGGUGGUAAAUUCCAUCUAAAGCUAAAUAUUGGCGAGAGACCGAUAGCGAACAAGUACCGUGAGGGAAAGAUGAAAAGAACUUUGGAAAGAGAGUUAAACAGUACGUGAAAUUGCUGAAAGGGAAACGCUUGAAGUCAGUCGCGUUGUCCAGGGAUCAACCUUGCUUUUGCUUGGUGCACUUUCUGGUUGACGGGUCAGCAUCAAUUUUGACUAUUGGAAAAAGAUUAGGGGAAUGUGGCAUCUUAGGAUGUGUUAUAGCCCUUGGUUGCAUACAAUGGUUGGGAUUGAGGAACUCAGCACGCCGCAAGGCCGGGUUUUUAACCACGUACGUGCUUAGGAUGCUGGCAUAAUGGCUUUAAUCGACCCGUCUUGAAACACGGACCAAGGAGUCUAACAUGCCUGCGAGUGUUUGGGUGGAAAACCCGAGCGCGUAAUGAAAGUGAAAGUUGAGAUCCCUGUCGUGGGGAGCAUCGACGCCCGGACCAGACCUUUUGUGACGGUUCCGCGGUAGAGCAUGUAUGUUGGGACCCGAAAGAUGGUGAACUAUGCCUGAAUAGGGUGAAGCCAGAGGAAACUCUGGUGGAGGCUCGUAGCGAUUCUGACGUGCAAAUCGAUCGUCAAAUUUGGGUAUAGGGGCGAAAGACUAA
rnacentral:rRNA from 1 species